AAUAUAUAGUUUUGAAUAUACUGUAGGACAUUUAUUAUACUUGGUACAUGGAAUACUUUAUUACAUAUUUUACUUUUUUACGGAAUUUGUAUUCUUUAAGUCUGUCGGAAAUUUAACUGAUCUGAAACAUGAUGCAUCUAAUUUUUAUUAUCUCAGGUCUGCAUAUUGCUGUGGCAAAUGUUUUUGUGAUUUUGUUCAGUCUGCUGGAUAUAUCAUUUUUUGUGCUCAUGGGAUUUAUCUUUCACGAUUUUAACCCAGGUAAGAAGCUCAGUAAAAUUCAGGAAAUCACACACUGGACCCCAAUAAAUGAAAUAUUCAAAAUCUUUACUUAUAUACAUUGUCUAAUUUGUUGAGAACAAAAAUGAUGUGGUGAUGGUCAAUGGAAACCACAAUCAACCAACUGAGAUUUGCAAUCGAAAACAAAUUAUUAUUUUUGGAACCAAAAAUCUAAUUACAGACAAUUCAAAGUUGCCUGAAUUUCAUCACAUCAACUCAUAACAUAAGUCAGUACUGUACAUGGCCCCACAUGCCUGUGUACCUAAGCUUGCUCCUGUGGGCAUGGUAGAUGUUUUCUGGGGAUCUCCUCCCACGCCAGGACUAGGGAAUCAACGAGCUUAUAAACAUUGUCUCCUGGACAUAGUCGAGUAGUCUGUAGUCUACUUGAUGGCUUUGGAUGCUUGCCUAAUUUUUGGGAAUUGUGAUUUGAUUUUUUCCCCAUCACGUUUUAUUGUUUAAAUUCUUUAUUCCAAACAGAACAGUGGAUAAUUAAUGAGUUCCAAUGUGUCUCACUUAAUAUAACCUCAUAUCAUCUCAAUAUUAUCAACCCAGUUUAUGUAUAUUUAUGUAAAUGUAUAUUUAAAAACAAAUGAAUGUUCCUGGUUUUAGUAUGGAUAUUUCCAAUUGAGUUGGUAAUCUAUAUCAUUGCGUGGCUAGCAGUGAUUGCUCUGCUGCAAAGUCAAUGAGAAGGAUGUUGCUUCCAAUGGAGAGGGCUUGGAUAUUUGUGUUGCAUUGUCAUUGUCUUGUUUCUAAUCAGUGCAAUUGGUGCACUCUGCCUUCAUUUUGCUACGCAGGAGUUGGAACAUAAUAAAGAUCGUGCUGGAUAUGUGGCUUUGGUCAUUUUACUCCAUGUUUUAGCAGCAACAUCGUUGUUCAAACAUCCAACACAUUUGCCUGAGUUUCUUCACGUUAUGAUCUUCAUGUUUGGAUCUGGAGGACUCGUUCUUGUAAAUUCACUCGUUAGGGUUAGGGUUAGGUACCAGAUCAGGUACCAGAAUGAAAUAUAACUAUUAAGUUCGAAGUCAGUUGAAUGUGCCAUGGUUUGUUAGCAGAGCAGCGGUUUGGUUGGUCUUCUCAUCCGGUUGCUGCUGCCAGGAUUUUAUUUUUAAAUAACUCUCUGGUUAAAACCUACCUAAAAUAUAUCCUUAUUUCACCUGGUUGCCAGGUCAUGUCCUGUGAACCGUCAUGUGUUAUGUCAUCAGAACUGGAAUCUUUUUGAAUAAGCUUUUCUAAAAGUUUAAUGUUGAUCUGUAUUAAUAUGCUGUAAGUAUUCAAUAAAUACUUCUAGGGAAAGGAGCACGGACUGUAGAAGAUCUACGUGUGAUCGUUUAACCGUUUGAAACCGCAUUUGUUUUGGCUUGGCUCGCUUUGCAAAUCUACAGUGCCCGUGAGUAAUGUCUAAAGCAAAUUAUUUAGUUUUCUGCACAUUUAUUAAAAUAAAUAUAUGUAGGAUUUAGAAUUUCUACAUAAAUUGUGUUUAUAAUUGAAUGUGUUCUGUAUAUGACACAGGGAUGAGAUUACAAGUCCGGUACGCUUUUUUUAUUUGUUUCUUUUAAAACUAAUUUUAAACAAAUUUUUAUUGAACCCAGAUAAAAAACAAUUAAAUUAGUCACUUUUUUCAUUAAGUCUCUUUGUUAUUGUUUAAAGAGAAUUAAAAAGAAUUUUGAAGAUGAGAGAGUACCAGCACCUGAGGAAAUGGAGGCUCUUCCUGUCCAACGUAUCUGUGAAGAUCAAUAAACUAUGAAUCUGCAUAAAAUAUCAUAACCCACACCUUAUCAGUGGAUUAUUGAAGAAACUGGUCAUAAGUUCUAAGAAAACACUGUGAAAUUAUCAUAUAUUUCCAGCUCAUAAAGGACUGUUUGAUUACUGUACUGUUUCCGUCCUUAUCACUCUAGUUCAUCUCUGUUUUAACAAAUAUUUACAGACAUGUUUAAUCCUAGAUGUUUAACCCAUUCCACUUUUUUGUUACCACUUUUCAAAUUGCUUCAGCAUUAAAGUCUUCAGUAUAUUGGACCCUUCACCCUAUAAAUAAAGAUGCUUCAUUUUAACCUUGUGGAUUAGCAAGUUAUGUGUAAAAAUUUAUUUUUCUUUUUAAAUUGGUAUAAAGCAGAUUUAUGGAUUUCAGACCAAGACGGCAGAUUUUCAACCUUAGCUCACUUUGUACUGCCAUUAGUUUUCAAAUUGCUGUAAUUUUAUUUUUUAAAGAGAAAUCCUUAUCAGUCUAACAGUAACAAGGCGAUAUUUUAACCUAGAGAUUUGCUGUGAAUGUCCUCCAUGGCCUCUGAUUUCUUUUUCCAUUUGAAAUGGUCAGGUAACAGAGUAAUGGAAUUCAGAGUUUAAACAUUUUUUUAAAUUAAAUUAAAAAACAAAACAAAGCAGACUUAAUGCGUUUAUAUGGGUAACUAUUUGGUUGUUUGUUUUAAUGGUAAUUGAGGUUUUUUUUUUUUAACUCAUGCUAUUAUUUUACUGCUAUUUGAAUUCUUUGAUAUCACAUUAAUUUUAACCAAAUAAUAUCAUUUCUGGACAUAUUUGUACUUAUUAUAAAACCAUUUUAUAGUCUCACAUAAUGCACAUGGUUCUAAGAGAUUUUAUUCUCUUGUUUGUAAAAUUGUGUGUUGAAUUUAUUAUUGUUGUUUACCUGAGUUUAUUGGACGAGAAAUACAGCGGAUAUUAAUACGGAUUGCCAUUCUACAGUAAUGUUUAUGUCCAAAAUAAAGCAAGUACUGACCAGUA